rnacentral:misc_RNA from 1 species
UUCCUCACGGACAUCGGGCCACGCAGCGCAAGCACCAACGUGACACCAAACGUCGUUCGAAUGUAGCGUCAAAGCUAUUGCGAGCAGAUGAGAGUCGAUGACUCUGUGCCCCCCACGUUUUCCGUAUCCCCGUAGUCCAAAUGAAACUCGUGAGCCACAACGAAAACGCAUAGCGUGUGCACCGUGGAGCACGAAUCUCACUUCGAGUUUCGCCCGUGACCAUGCCGAAUGAACGACCAAUCCAAGGCGAACGAGGAAAAUAGGCAACCGAAUUCCAUCAAAGUAGGUACGCAACACAAGAAACCCGGUAAACGGACAAUAUAAAUUGUGCCGAAGAUUGAAGAGGAGUGCACGAUUAGACGUCGCCGCUCGAAGCAGGGAUCCAACCAACCCAUACAA